rnacentral:misc_RNA from 1 species
UUGUUGAAAGGAAACCCCCAAAUCCAAAGACGAACCGCUGCUCUAAAGGGUUUUGAGUAAAGCGUGAGGAGUUGGAGAGCCGAAUCGUACCGACAUAUGGAGGCUUCGGCAGCGGCUGGUGUCGCCGCAGCCGCCGCAGCACGCGGUGUUGCUCUUCCUGUUUCAUCGGCUCAAGCUGCUCGCAAAGAGUGGCGUGCUGUCUCUGAGCAAUCGGUUCGGAAUUCCGGUAGUGAGGAAACGGAAAGGUCCAGAUUAGGUCAAUCCGACGAGAGGCUGAUAUAUGAGCAAGGGAGAGAGCCGGUUGAUGUGGACUUCUGUUCAAUCACUAUUGAUGGAACUCCAAACAAUGAUAUACUGCAACAGAGACUACUUGCUGUGGUAAAACAAAAAGAAGAGUUUCAUCAAAUGGAGGUUGAACUACGAGCUCAGCUCAUUG